UACGUAGGGUGCAAGCGUUGUCCGGAAUUAUUGGGCGUAAAGAGCUCGUAGGCGGUUUGUCGCGUCUGCUGUGAAAACCCGAGGUUCAACCUCGGGCCUGCAGUGGGUACGGGCAGACUAGAGUGCGGUAGGGGAGAAUGGAAUUCCUGGUGUAGCGGUGGAAUGCGCAGAUAUCAGGAGGAACACCGGUGGCGAAGGCGGGUCUCUGGGCAGUAACUGACGCUGAGGAGCGAAAGCGUGGGGAGCGAACAGG
rnacentral:rRNA from 1 species